rnacentral:rRNA from 1 species
AUACGUAGGGUGCUAGCGUUAAUCGGAAUUACUGGGCGUAAAGCGUGCGCAGGUGGUUUUGUAAGUCAGAUGUGAAAUCCCCGGGCUUAACCUGGGAACUGCGUUUGAAACUGCAAGGCUAGAGUGUGGCAGAGGGGGGUGGAAUUCCGCGUGUAGCAGUGAAAUGCGUAGAGAUGUGGAGGAACACCGAUGGCGAAGGCAGCCCCCUGGGUCAGCACUGACGCUCAGGCACGAAAGCAUGGGGAGCAAACAGGAUUAGAAACCCCGGUAGUCC